UGGCUGACUUCAAGUUUCACAGUGUUGUGAUCUGAAAAUAUGCAUGGUAUGAUCUGGAUCUUUUUGUACUUCUUCGGGGCUGAUUUGUGACCAAGUACGUGAUCUCUUCUAGAGAAUGUUCCAUGUGCACUUGAGAAGAAUGUGUAUUCUGCUUUUGGAUGAAGUGUUCUU